rnacentral:rRNA from 1 species
GGUCAAGUUAUUAAGGGUGCAGGGCGGAUGCCUUGGCACUAGGAGCCGAUGAAGGACGUGAUAAGCUGCGAUAAGCUUCGGGGAGUUGCACGUAAACUUUGAUCCGAAGAUUUCCGAAUGAGGAAACUCACUUAGAGUAAUGUCUAAGUAUCAUUAAGUGAAUACAUAGCUUAAUGAGGGGAACUCAGGGAACUGAAACAUCUAAGUACCUGAAGGAAGAGAAAGAAAUUCGAUUCCGUAAGUAGCGGCGAGCGAACGCGGAUUAGCCCAAACCAAUAAAGUUUUCUUUAUUGGGGUUGCGGACAUAUCAUAACGAAGAGGUAUCGUAAUUGAAGAGGUUUGGAAAGACCCACCACAGAAGGUAAUAGUCCUGUAUGUUAAACGAGAAGACUUCAGAUAUGAUCCAGAGUACCACGGGACACGUGAAACCCUGUGGGAAGCA